UACAGAGGGUGCGAGCGUUGUCCGGAAUCACUGGGCGUAAAGGGCGCGUAGGCGGCCUGAUAAGUAGGGGGUGAAAUCUUGCGGCUCAACCGCAAGGCUGCCCUCUAAACUGUCAGGCUGGAGCACGGUAGAGGCAGAUGGAAUUCCCGGUGUAGCGGUGGAAUGCGUAGAGAUCGGGAAGAACACCAGUGGCGAAGGCGGUCUGCUGGGCCGUUGCUGACGCUGAGGCGCGACAGCGUGGGGAGCAAACAGG
rnacentral:rRNA from 1 species